GCCCUCAUAGUUCAAUGGAUAGAACAUCGGUCUUCGGAACCGAAUAUGGGGGUUCGAUUCCCUCUGAGGGCACCA
rnacentral:tRNA from 1 species